ACAACCGUGAUUCCGGGAGUAGUGGCGAGCGAAACCGGAUGAGGCCAAACCGUAUGCGUGUGAGACCCGGCAGGGGUUGCGUAUGCGGGGUUGUGGGAUCUCUCUUCUGUUGUCUGCCGGCAACAGGACGAGUCAGAAACCGUUGAUAUAGGCGAAGGACAUGCGAAAGGUCCGGCGUAGAGGGUAAGACCCCCGUAGUCGAAAUGUCAGCGGCUCGUUUGAGAGACACCCAAGUAGCACGGGGCCCGAGAAAUCCCGUGUGAAUCUGGCGGGACCACCCGCUAAGCCUAAAUAUUCCCUGGUGACCGAUAGCGGAUAGUACCGUGAGGGAAUGGUGAAAAGUACCCCGGGAGGGGAGUGAAAUAGUACCUGAAACCGUGUGCCUACAAGCCGUGGGAGCGUCGGA
rnacentral:rRNA from 1 species